ACAACUAAAUGUUUACUUUUGGUUCACACCGCUGUAGUAACGGCGGGUUGUGAUUAUUCACGUUUUUGGCAUUGUGUGUGAUGCGAUGGUCUGAACGCACAUUUAGGGCUCCAAACUAACCAAAACUCACGAGGGGGAGCGCUGACAUCGUUCACCAGCAGCUCACUGACGCCACCUGUGUGCAGGGGGUCCUAGCUGGGAAUGGAGGGGUCCGAUGCCUCCUGAGGCCUCCUGUACUCUGAAACAACUGGGUGAUUCAUCAGUCAAUGGUGGGAAAAUUAAUCAGCAAGAAUGUUGAUAAUUAAUAAACAUAAUUCACCAAUGAA